rnacentral:rRNA from 1 species
UGUAGCGGUGAAAUGCGUAGAUAUCAGAGGAAUACCAGUGGCGAAGGCGGCUUUCUGGUUCGGAAUUGACGCUGAUGUACUAAAGCGUGGGUAGCAAACAGGAUUAGAUACCCUGGUAGUCCACGCCUUAAACUAUGGAUACUUGAUGUCGGGGCGUUCGGUCGACCCGGUGUCGUAGCUAACGUGUUAAGUAUCCCGCCUGGGGACUACGGUCGCAAGACUGAAACUCAAAGGAAUUGACGGGGGCCCGCACCAGCGGUGGAACAUGUGGUUUAAUUCGAUGCAACGCGAAGAACCUUACCUGGGCUUGACAUAUAUAUGAGGUAUGUAAGAAAUUAUGUAUUUUGGUCUCUUUUGAGAUUAACAUAUAUACAGGUGAUGCGUGGCUGUCGUCAGCUCGUGUCGUGAGAUGUAGGGUUAAGUCCCUUAACGAGCGCAACCCUUGCUUUUAGUUGCCAUCAGGUAAUGCUGGGGACUCUAGAAGGACUGCCGAGGUUAACUCGGAGGAAGGUGGGGAUGACGUCAAGUCAGUAUGUCCCUUAUGUCCAGGGCUACACACGUGUUACAAUGGUCGGUACAGAGUGACGCUAAUCCACGAGGUGGAGCCAAUCACUUAAAGCCGAUCCCAGUUCGGAUUGGAGUCUACAAUUCGACUCCAUGAAGUUGGAAUCGCGUAGUAAUCGCAGAACAGCAUNCUGCGG